rnacentral:misc_RNA from 1 species
AGUAUAUGUGCCAACUCUUGCCACCCAAGUCGUUAAAGGAAUAGAUGCUGGUGUAAAGCCCACUCUGAACUUCAAGGGUUACUUGGUUGGAAAUGGAGUUGCAGAUGAUGUGUUUGAUGGAAAUGCUCUUGUUCCAUUUGCACACGGGAUGGGCCUGAUCUCUGAUGAGCUGUUUCAGGAAGUUGAAGAUACAUGCAAAGGAAACUACUAUGAACCCACUGACAAUGCCUGUGAGGUCAAGCUUGCGAAAGUUGAUGAGUUGGUUGAUGGCUUAA